rnacentral:rRNA from 1 species
CCAGCUCCAAGAGUGUAUAUUUAUAUUGCUGAGGUUAAAAAGCUCGUAGUUGGAUCUGCGUGUUUAGCAUCUGGUGUGGUUUUUGAUCACUACUGGAAUGCAACACAGUUGUGUCGGUGUGCCAUUGAUGCUCUUAACCGGGUGUCUUUGGUGGCUGAUGAGUUUACUUUGAACAAAUUAGAGUGCUCAACACAGGCGUUUCGCUUGUAUAUUUCUGCAUGGAAUAAUAGAAUAGGACCUCGCGUCUAUUUUGUUGGUUUUCGGUUGUGAGGUAAUGAUUAAGAGGGACUGACGGGGGCAUUCGUACUGCGACGUGAGAGGUGAAAUUCUUGGAUCGUCGCAAGACGCACUACUGCGAAGGCAUUUGCCAAGAAUGUUUUCAUUAAUCAAGAACGAAAGUAACGGGUUCGAAGGCGAUCAGAUACCGCCCUAGUCGUUACCGUAAACUAUUGCGACAAAAAGCUUGUGGGCGUUUUAAAUGACCCCAUAAGAGUUUGACGGGAAACCAAGUUUUUGGUAUCCUGGGGGAGUAUAUAUCGCAAGUUCGAAACUUAAAGGAAUUGACGGAAGGGCACCACCAGGGGUGGAGCCUGCGGCUUAAUUCGACUCAACAAGGGCGAA